rnacentral:lncRNA from 1 species
CAGAACCGAGCUGGUACCCAUGGCCACUGAUAUGGUGAGUAAGUUUUCCAAGAUGGAUUCCAUCUGUUACCUGUGUAGGGUGUUUGGUGAAGUUGGUGGUUCUGGGGUGACCUUUGGCCGUGUCCAGAGCUUGGCCUGGUGACCCACAAGCAAAGCCUCUGUGGUCUGUGCCACCUAUCCUCUGUGCCGAGAGCGCCUCCAUGGCCGAGACUUGUGUCCGAGCCAAGAGCAAACCCACAGCCAAGACUUCCGUCUGAGCUGAGAGCACAUGCGCAGCCGAGACUUCCAUCUAUGCAGAGAGCUCUUGUGUGGCUGAGACUUCCGACUUCUGACUGAGCCAAGAGCAACCACACAGCCGAGCCUUCCAUCUGCACAGAGAGCUCCCGUUUGGCCCUAGUUUUCUUCAAAUUUCUAUGAUAUUGGGCAAGAUUCAUCUAUUACUUAGCCUUACUAUGCUCCACAGGUUUGGGCCUUCUUGGUUCAAUGGUUUGCUGUCAGGAACAGUUUGUAUUUUAAGGUUUUCCUUCAUUAUGGCUCAUUGGUAUGAAUGAAAAUUGAGCUGGAAAUCAAACAGGGUUGGUAGUAGGUGCUUGAAACUUCACAAAUCAGUUCUCAGUGGGCAAACUCAAUCAGAUCUCUAUGGGCAUUCUCUGGUUUAUUCUUUGUGAAAGUAGCCCUAAGUGG